AUUGAACGCUGGCGGCAGGCCUAAAACAUGCAAGUCGAACGAGUGGCGGACGGGUGAGUAAGGUCUGGGAAACUGCCGGAUGGAGGGGGAUAACUACUGGAAACGGUAGCUAAUACCGCAUACCAUCGGAGGUGCCCAGAUGGGAUGAGCUAGUAGGUGGGGUAAAGGCGCACCUAGGCGACGAUCCCUAGCUGGUCUGGGAUGAUGACCAUCCACACUUGAACUUAUACACGGUCCCUACUCCUCCGGGAUGCAGCAGUGUGGACUAUUGCACUAUGGGCGCAAUCCUGAUGUAGCCAUGCCGCGUGUAUGAAGAAGGCCUUCGGGUUGUAAAGUACUUUCAUCGGGGAGGCGUUACCCGCAGAAGAAGCACCGGCUAACUCCGUGCCAGCAGCCGCGGUAAUUC
rnacentral:rRNA from 1 species